AUGAACGCUGACAGAAUGCUUCACACAUGCCAGUCGCUGGGGAAGUGGUGCUUGCACCAUGGUAACCAUGGCGGACGGGUGAGUAACGCGUAAGGAACUUGCCUGCGGGACUGGGAUAACAGCAGGAAACUGCUGAUAAUACCGGAUAAGGUCAUUAAGCUGCAUAGCUUAGUGAUGAAAGGAGACGCCUGCGGAGAGCCUUGCGUCCUAUUAGCUAGUUGGAGGGGUAACGGCCCACCAAGGCGAAGAUAGGUAGCCGGCCUGAGAGGGUGGACGGCCACAAGGGGACUGAGAUACGGCCCUUACUCCUACGGGAGGCAGCAGUGGGGAAUAUUGGACAAUGGGGGCAACCCUGAUCCAGCAAUUCUGUGUGCACGAAGACGGUUUUCGGAUUGUAAAGUGCUUUCAGCAGGGAAGAAGGAAGUGACGGUACCUGCAGAAGAAGCGACGGCUAAAUACGUG
rnacentral:rRNA from 1 species